UUUAAACAGGAGGGAAUAGUUUAGAAUAUGUUUUCAUUCUAGAAUGCUUUUGUUGUCAUAGCUGUGCUAAGAGCCUCUUUUAAAAAUGUGGUCACGCAGCACAAAACCCACAAUGACUCGCCUACUCAUGUAUUUCCUGUUGGUCGAGGGUCUAUUUGCACCUGCAGUAAACAGAUCUGGAAGAAGUGAAAGAAGCAUACAGGAGCUGCAGCUGCUCUUUGACCCCGAUGUCCUUAAAAAGCAAACCAGCCUUACAGAUGAUUACGGUGAAAAGCCGCUCUCGCCUUCUCUACCCGGCACUGAAACUUCUUAUUGGCCCAACGCAGAGGAAGAAUACUACUAAAUGAAAAAACGGAGGACAACAAUUAAACUUGUUUUGUGACAUGUGUCAUUUGAUUUGUCAAUUUUUUUAACUUAAUUACUUUAUUUUAUGGCUUCUCAAAUUAGUUAUUACUUACAUUUAAAAAACUUUAUUUAUUUACAUAUUUACUUACAUACACUUAAAUCUAUAUGUAUGUUUGUAUGUUUGCUCCUAUCAAAGAUUGAUCUGGUUAAUCAGGUUUGAUGUGUUCCCAGUCCUCUCUUUUGUAUCCUUGCAGGUUAAACACAACUCCGGCACUCUUCCAUCAAACUUUGUCAUUAGCUAAGUCAACAAAGUAACACCCUGAUGAGUAAUCUGUAUGGCCGGUAUUGUGUUUUCUGUGAAAACUGCCUUUCAGCAGUGAAUAUUCUCCAGAAACUGUUUUGCAUGCUGCUUUUGAAACAGUGAUUUUACCUGAAAAACAGAAUACCAAAACAACAAAACAAAAAAAACUGUUUAAAAGAAAGACGCUAAGCUUAUUAUACUCUUAAAAGCUACUUGUACAGAUUUUGAAAAAUAAGAAAACAAUUUCAGUAAUCUGAGGUUAUGAAUUCUCCUUAAGUGAUUUCACAACCACAUUAAUUGUCUUCUGCUUCUCCAAGAUCAGGUUGCAGAGGCGACAGGUCCUUCUUAGCUUUUCAAGGCGUUCCAGACUUUAACAAAUAUAUAGUUCUUUCACAAAGUUCUGAGUCUUCCCCGGGGUCUCCAUUCCACAAGAGGCCUCCUAAUCACAUACCCAGACCAUCUAAAUUUCCUCUUUUCAACGUUGAGGAGCAGUGGCUCUACUUCAGGCUCCUCUCGGAUUAUGCAGCUCCUCCCCCUAUCACCAAGGCUUAAUCAGGCCACCGUAUUAAGGAAGCUUACUUUAGCUGCUUGUUUGUUCUUUCAGCCAUGAUCGAUAUCUAACGACUAGGGAUGGGUACCGAAUUCUGUACUUUUAUAGGUACCGACCAGUUCCCAUCGGUACUACUGAGGACCGAUUCACUUUAAAUCAAAUGUACCAUGUUUCGGUACCUAAAUGCAUCACUGUGACACUCAGGGAGUGGAAGAGUGGGCAAUUUUCCAUGCUGGACAUGAGCACAGCAUUGCACGCACAAGAGCUCAAUGACGUCAGUAGCUGCUAGUGGUCCAACAAAGUAAGCAUGGCAGUUAGAAAAAACGGUUGAAAGUAUGGCUCCAC